rnacentral:rRNA from 1 species
GACGAACGCUGGCGGCGUGCCUAAUACAUGCAAGUCGAACGCACAGUUUAUACCGUUGCUUGCUCCACCAUACACUGUGAGUUGCGAACGGGUGAGUAACGCGUAGGUAACCUGCCUGGUAGCGCGGGAUAACUAUUGGAAACGAUAGCUAAUACCGCAUAAUAUUAAUUAUUGCAUGAUAAUUGAUUGAAAGAUGCAAUUUCAUCACUACCAGCUGGACCUGCGUUGUAUUAGCUAGUAGGAGAGGUAACGGCGCACCCAGGCGAACAUACAUAUCCGACCUGGGAGGGGGGUUGGGCAACAUGGGAAUGAGAACACGCCCCAAAUCCUACGGGAGGCAGCAGUAGGGAAUCUUCGGCAAUGGACGGAAGGCUGACCGAGCAACGCCGCGGGAGUGAAGAAGGUUUUUGGAACGGAAAGCUCUGUUGUAAGAGAAGAAAGGGUGUGAGAGGGGAAAGUGCACACUGUGACGGUACCUGACCAGAAAGGCACGGCUAACUACGUG